AGUGAACGCUGGCGGUAGGCCUAACACAUGCAAGUCGAACGGCAGCACAGUAAGAGCUUGCUCUUACGGGUGGCGAGUGGCGGACGGGUGAGGAAUACAUCGGAAUCUACUUUUUCGUGGGGGAUAACGUAGGGAAACUUACGCUAAUACCGCAUACGACCUACGGGUGAAAGCAGGGGAUCUUCGGACCUUGCGCGAUUGAAUGAGCCGAUGUCGGAUUAGCUAGUUGGCGGGGUAAAGGCCCACCAAGGCGACGAUCCGUAGCUGGUCUGAGAGGAUGAUCAGCCACACUGGAACUGAGACACGGUCCAGACUCCUACGGGAGGCAGCAGUGGGGAAUAUUGGACAAUGGGCGCAAGCCUGAUCCAGCCAUACCGUGUGGGUGAAGAAGGCCUUCGGGUUGUAAAGCCCUUUUGUUGGGAAAGAAAAGCAGCAGGUUAAUACCCGGCUGUUCUGACGGUACCCAAAGAAUAAGCACCGGCUAACUCCGUG
rnacentral:rRNA from 1 species